GACGGAGCUGAGACACCGGAGCCUAUACCGGGCGAACGGAGCGGCGCCCAGACAUACUAGUUCCUACAAUAUAGGAUCCGCUCAGUGGAUAUCUUCUAUAUAAGAUCCUUCUCCUGAUUGACCCAUCAAAGAUGGAUAGGGACAAGGACAAGAUGGCAGAAAGGAUAAUAAAUCUCACCCUAGAGAUCCUCUUCCGGCUUACUGGAGAGGACUACACAGUAGUGAAGAAGACCUCUAGUGAGCGCUGUCAGGCCCCUGUGUCUGAAGG